rnacentral:misc_RNA from 1 species
GGAGGGAUCAUUACCGAGUUAUUCAACUCAUCAACCCUGUGAACAUACCUAAACGUUGCUUCGGCGGGAAUAGACGGCCCCGUAAGACGGGCCGCCCCCGCCAGAGGACCCUUAACUCUGUUUCUAUAAUGUUUCUUCUGAGUAAAACAAGCAAAUAAAUUAAAACUUUCAACAACGGAUCUCUUGGCUCUGGCAUCGAUGAAGAACGCAGCGAAAUGCGAUAAGUAAUGUGAAUUGCAGAAUUCAGUGAAUCAUCGAAUCUUUGAACGCACAUUGCGCCCGCCAGUAUUCUGGCGGGCAUGCCUGUUCGAGCGUCAUUACAACCCUCAGGCCCCCGGGCCUGGCGUUGGGGAUCGGCGGAGCCCCCCGUGGGCACACGCCGUCCCCCAAAUACAGUGGCGGUCCCGCCGCAGCUUCCAUCGCGUAGUAGCUAACACCUCGCGACUGGAGAGCGGCGCGGCCACGCCGUAAAACACCCAACUCUUCUGAAGUUGACCUCGAAUCAGGUAGGAAUACCCGCUGAACUUAAGCAUA